rnacentral:rRNA from 1 species
AACGUAGGAGGCAAGCGUUAUCCGGAGUUACUGGGCGUAAAGCGCGUGUAGGUGGAUCGGUAAGUUACUUAUGUAAGCUCCUGGCUAAACUAGGAGAGGUUGAGUGAUACUGCCAGUCUUGAAUAGAGGAGAGGUUGACGGAAUUCCGCGUGUAGUGGUGAAAUGCGUAGAGAUGCGGAAGAACACCAGUGGCGAAGGCGGUCAACUGGCCUCAUAUUGACACUCAGACGCGAAAGCAUGGGUAGCGAACGGG